UCUGACUGAAGGUCUAGGGUAGUGCUGACGCUGCUGAGUUCGCAGGGCGCUCCUGGCUGGUAGCUCCCAGGGGCCAAGUGAGGCUUUCCUCAGAGCCCUAGGAUGGGAGGUGGAGGCCAGGUUCUUCAGAAAGAAGGCUCAGGUUAGCUCUUGAGGAAGAGUGAGGAGCAUCGGGACAAAACGGCCAUCCUCCAGACCCAGACGCUGGAUAUGGAGACACCUCGGCCAAUCACUCUAUUGGAAAACCAAAUAGAACAAACCUGUUUGGGAUGAAGAUUGAUAACCAAUUUGGAAUGAUGUGUGUUGAAACGAAUGGAUUUUGGUUUUGAGGCAUUAGCAGGACAUUUGAGUAGAAGAGCUGAUAGGAGAUUUGUUUUCGCAACUGGGUUUACUCUGUAACCCAGGUUGGCCUGGAGCUUAGUUUUCUUGGCUUCUCAGAGCAGAAUUCCCGCCUUGUGCCGCUACACCUGGCUGAAGUUUGGGGACAUGGACUGUGAAUGUAGAAUGUAAGGUGUAGUCUGCAGCUCAGGAGAGUUAGCUAAGUGACAGCUGUCUAUAGUCAUGUUAGAGGCUCAGUGUUUAAUCCCUAGCAGAAGAAAAAUUGAAGUAAAGCAAUGUAAAUGCAUCGUCUUGACUAAAAACUCCAUAGGGAUUGAGUGACAAGGAUUCACUAUGUAUCCUGAAACUUGCAGUCCCCUUGGCUCUGCUUCCUGAGUGCUGGAAUGACAGGAGUGUGCUGUGUGCCUUCACAUCUGACUUAAAGCCCACUGAGAGCAAGUGAAAUGAGGGCUUUUAAGGUUUGCCUCAGUCUUGGUUAUCAGAUGAACUGUCAGGGUGGGUGUCACAGUGCUCAUGUUUAACAGUGGCCAGAGCAUUUGUGAGUAGUGAUCCUGACAAUUUGAAUAUGCCAAAGAGAAGUCAUGCAGUACUUCCUUGAACUGACGCUGUAAGGAGAGGAAAAAAUGCCGAAUGCUAAAGUAACUAAGAUCUACACAUUCUUAUCAGAAAUUUUAAAGAAAACUAGUCAUGGUGGCUCAUGCAACAUCACAGUGCUUGGCAAGUGGAGGCAGGAGCACCGAGAGUUCAAGGCCACCCUUCCUUAUAUAGCAAGUUCCAGUCUAGGUUGGAAAACAACAAAUUGUGAAGAAGGAAAUGGAUCUGUGCUAGUUUUGCUGUCACCUUGAACUACACAUCGGUUGCCACAGUUCCUGACAAAUGCUUAGUCAUUCACCUCAUUUGAUCUCUUCACAUUGACCUUGUGUCACCUCAUGUCACCAGAAAGCUGAGUACAAUACGGAGCUUGGAUGGUCCUUGGAUAGGCACUGCUCUCUAUUCCACAAUGAAAGCUUGGGAAUACUGGUUCUACUGUCAGCGAAGAGUCAGCAGCACUCACAACAACAGGACAUAACAACUUGUGGCAAGAGAGAGGCUAAGCUGGAAACAGAACUUCAAAAUGCAUGAAAAUUGUUGGACUAUGGGAAGCAGAAGAAUAAGUAAAUUGGCACUUGCAGCUGAAAACAUCUGUACUUCUCUCUUGAUAACAGAUAACACAGUAGACAGAUAACCAUCAUUGCCAGAUUAUGUAUGCACACUGAAGGACUCAACAGUACCAUCAACUAGAUCUGACAUCCACCCAACAACAGCAAAAUAGUCAUUUCUUUCAAGUGCAUACUGAAAAUUCCUAAGGCAGGUUGCUUCCUGGAUCAUUAAAAAAAAGAACAGUUGAAAAUAAUGCAAGUUAUGUUAAUUACCAUAUUGGAAUGACAUGGGAAAUUAAUAAAAGAAAGCAAGAAGAAUAAUCUCCAAACAGUGGAAGACAAUAUACUUCUAAGUAAUUCUCAGGACGUCUCAAAGGAAAUUGGAAAAUACUUUUCAUUAAAAAAAAAAAGAAAAUAUACCAUAUAAAAAUUGUGAGGCUCAAAUGUAGCAGUGCGAUUACAUCAACAUCACAGUGUUAGAGAAGAAAGUGACUCUUCAGAGACCUCAGCCUUCACCUUAGAAACCUAGAGAGGUGGGUGUGUGAAACACAUCCAUGGCCACAGAGCCUGGGUUAUGUGAAAUCUAGGGUGCACAGUCAAAAUAAGCUCAAAGAAAGCAAAAGGGGGAAAUAAUAAAGAAUAUAAAAAUCAGAAAAUGGAGAAAAAUAAUCCAAAGGGUAAGUUUUUGUAACACUGGGAAAACAGAGAGAUGGCGUGAGUUAUCAGCAUGUAGGCUUGGAAGCUGAAUAGUACUGUGUGCUGUCACAUACUCCACAGACAAUAACAGGAUAGGAGAGAGUAAUACAUACGCUAUAGACAUUUAUAAUUUUAUUAGAUGAUAUAAUAUGAUCAAAACAAAAAGUCAACAACUUAGCUGGAAUGGGUCUGUUCCCUGCAAAUUCCAAGCUAAAAUAAAGAGGGAUGAAUAGGAAUGAAGAAGGAUUAGGUGGCUUCUUAUUUUAAGAGGCCAUUGUACCCUGAUAGCCAAAGCAAAGGAACAAAAAGACUACAGGCUGUUGCCCUUCAUAACACAAGCAAAACCUCCAUCACACUAUUAAGAAGUUGAACGAUUAUUCAAUAUAAAAUAUACACACAGUGAAGACAUUAUGACCAAGCAAUGUUUACUUCAGAAGUGCAAGCCUGGCUUAAUAUUUGAAAAUCAAUAUAAUCUACAAUUUUAACAGGCUAAAGAAAAAAAGCCACAUGGAUAUGUUGGUUGUUGUAGAACAUUUCUAAAAAUUAAAUGUCUCCACAAUAAGUCUCGUCAAACUAGGAGUUAAAGGGUCCUUCCUCAACAAGAUAAAGGAUCUAUUCAAAAAACCUAAAAAGCCAUUAUGAGUGAUCAAAAGCUGGAGGCUUCCCCUAAGACUACACCUCCCUUAAGACUGUAGUCAAGGCUGGUCUGUGCACUCUCACUACGCCUGCACAAUAUGACACAGGAAGUCUUAGCUGGUGAAGUCAAGAAAAAGAAACAGCAUAGAUUAGAAAGGGAGAAGAAAUAACAACCAAAAGAAAACAAAAUCCAACCAGACAAAACUGGCAUAUGUGGAAAUGAUACUUCUGUAUCAAGGCCACAUAGGAAAUCCAAGGAAUUUGUUUUAUAUAUAGAACUGCUGAUUUCAGCUUGUUAAAGAACAUAACUGGUCUUACUUAGAGCUUCCAUUGCUGUGAAUGGAACUAUUUAGUUCCAUGGCCAAAGCAACUCUUAUAAAGGACAUUUAAUUGGAGCUGGCUUACAGGUUCCAAGGUUCAGUCCAUUAUCAUCCUGGAAGAAAGUAUGGCAACAUCAAGGCAGGCAUAGCAUUGUAGGAGCUGAGAGUUCUACAUCUUGUUCUGAAGGUAAACAGGAGAAGACUAUCUUCCAGGCAGCUAGGAGAAAGGUCUCAAAACCUACCCCUACAGUGACAUCCAACAAGGCCACACCUCCUAAUAGUGCCACUCCCUGGGCCAACUGUAUUCAAAUCAUCAUAUAACUCCAACACACAAUACCAGCUGCAGUUCUGGGGAGAUCUCCUUUGCUAAAGCUACUGUCAUGCAGGCAUGAGCACCUGAGUUUAAUUGCCAGCGUCCAUGUAAAAUGCCAAACAUGAUGGCAUGCAUCCUAGAGCUGGGGAUAUGGAAACAGCGAGAUCCCAAGUCAGCAAGCUCCAGAUUCAGUCAUAGAUCCUGCCCCAAAAGUAAAGUAGAUAAGAGUUGGCUCAACAGGUAAGAGAACUUAUUGCUCUUGCAGAGGACCUGGCUUCAAUUCCCUGCACCUACAC